ensembl:rRNA 5S_rRNA 5S ribosomal RNA
AUCUCCAGCCAUACUACGCUGAACAUGCCUGAUCUUGUCUGAUCUUGGAAGCGAAGAAGAGUGUGGCCUGGUUAGUACUUGGGUGGGAUACCAGCUGGGAAUACUGAGUGCUGUAGGCU